GUUUGUAGAAUAAAACUCUGAAUUUAUUCUGUUGAUCUGUACAUUGAACAAGAGUACUCAGACUGCAGCACACACGCACGCACGCACACACACACACACACACACACGACUGAUGUUAACCGGCAAAACCAGCUGUGCACAGGUGAGGAGUGCAACUGGCUCACGUGGAAACAUUUGAUUUCGCUUUCCACUGUCUUUCUAUCCUUGUUCUCUGUUUGAGUCCCCGUAGAGUCAGACUCAAGGUGCAGCGAGGCCAAGUUUAGCUGAAAUUAAUCCGGGUUCAGCCUAAAAACACAGUAUGAAUAAAAAUUCUCCACAGAGUUCUUUUAGUCCAGGCUUGGGCUUGAUCUGUGUGCAAGUAAAGCAGACCUAACGUAUGGGGAACAGGGACUGAUGUGAGAAGGAAGAUCCCCCUGACGCCGCGGUAAAAUCAAUGCUAACCAGUAUGUGACCAUAUCAAAAGAAAAUACCCACAAACGCAGACCUGAAAGAGAGCAUGUUCACAGUUAUUUCAUCCGGCAUUCUCCAUCAAUGAAUUUCCCAAAAAAUAUUAAUACAUACAUAUAUAUACACAUAUAUAUAGGUUUCUAGAUAUUUAUUCAGCAGCAAGAAUGAAGAGAUGACAGACAUGAUAAAGACACAAAAACUUAAAUGAAAAUGCAAAAUGUUCCGAUUUAAAUGCAAUACGAUCAAUUUCCGAACUCACUGUCUGGUCUUGAGGUCAGUUCAUGAAGCCCAUGACAUAUUUGCUUCACAUGACGCAGAACUAUCAAAAACGUCUUUACAGGAAAGCGUUCGCAAACAAAAUCACACCGUUUGCCUUCAGUUGUCAUGUUACAUGCUCUAAAUGAAUCAACUGUCUGUAUUAAUAAAAAAUGUCACAGAUACCCACGACUGACUGUAUUUUUGUGGAUGGACUAAUUUACGUUCCGCUGAGUGGCAGUCGCUCAACGCACCCAUAUUUCUGAGACAGUUUUCGCUGGACUGAAACGCAAAUUGGAGACUUCGUUCCCAAACAGUUCUUAACGACAACAAAAAAAGAGUUUCUUUGAGAGGGAACCACUUUGGUAAGUUAAGAAAACCCUCUACAGUUAACAUACUGCAAAAUAUCAUCACCACCAAAAGUAAGACUACCAUGUUAGUUGCACUGUAUUCUACAGUGGGAUUGACUUUCACAUUAACUGCUGAGGACCACAUUGUGAGAGUCUACUGCCCAGUAAUAUUUAGGUAGAUGGUUUGGAUUAUCAGGUUUCUUACUCCAGCAUUAGGUUUGUAUUGUACAAUAAAGACAAGGUUAUAUGGCCACGGAUAGAUCCUGCGUGCACGGUUUUAAUAGUCUGUUAAUUUGGAACAGAGUAUGUGAGGUAAUUUGUUAGAGAGGUAUGUCUUAUUCGAAAUAUGAAAAACUAAAUUUUUACGACAUGCCGGAUACAAUUCCUAAGAUUUUAUCUGAUGCUUUAUUUUUAUCCCCAAAUUCCUGCUGCUAGGUUUUAUUCAUGCGAAGCGGAACGACCUCCAGAAAAGUAGAAAAAUUAGCACCAUCUGAGGUAAAUAACACAGAUUAGACAACCCAUGCCUGCUGUAGCACCAUAAAUGGGAUAAAAAUGUAAUUACUGCAAGGAAACACUAUCUACUGCCACAGAAACAUUAACACAGUUGUUAAAGAGAGUAAAAUACAAUAUCCGAAAUGAAUCUAUACCAUACAGACUGAUAUAUAUAUACACACACAUAUAUAUCUGAACGAGGUACGAGGGUGACGAGACUGCCUUAGGAACACAGACACUGAGCAGCAAUGAGGUAGGACUGUGACUCUACAUGCUUGUUUUCAGACUAAGAAUAACCUGAACUUGUGUUGUAUCAAAAAUACAUUUCUUUCACUAGUAGAGCUGAGAAGAGUUUGUUAAAUAAGACUGACUCUGAGUAGGGUUCUUUAUUGUAACGGUGACCAUGAAAAAAGUGAAACAGCAACAGGAAGUUGCCGUUCUUGCUAUAGCGGAAUACUGGGCAGUUUUUGGAAUUGCAGUGGCAUGUGGGCAGGUCCUCAGCAUUUGAUUGACAACCUCAGAAUGUAGGUUAGUGAAGCAGACCGAAGCAAUACUAACUUUUUUUCUCCCCCAAGAACGUCCGCACACUACUUUUUUGGCAUCAUGAAGAAAAAAGGAAAGAAAAAAAAAAAAGGAUUUUUCAAUCUGAACAAAAUAGCCAUAUCCAUUAUCUAAAGCUUAAUUCUCUUUUGAUACAGAACAGAAAACAACAAAUCAGACAAUGAAGAUGUCGACAGCACAGCAACACCUUGUAAAAUCAGUAAAAAUAUAUUCUGGCUGUUUCUUUCCUGUUGGUUUAGCUUAGAUAACUGUGGACAACCUUAGCAGGGGCUGUUUUUGUGCAGGUUCAUACUUAUAAGACUUAUAUCAAAAACUGUCUGUUGCAGAGAUUCCACUUUGGCUUAUUUUCAACAGAACGACACAAACCCCCAACACACAUUCAGACUGGACGAAACUCAUUUGACACAACAAAACAUCUCUUGGACAAUACGCAGAGAACAACUGAGAUGAUAUGUUGAUCCCUCAUGCGCUUUGCACCAGACUUGCCGUUUUCCACAGGCAGAGACCAGCUCAAAGCUAAGCACCGCUAUUACACAGCCACUGAAAGCAUAGGCACCAGCCUCACCACAGUCUCCCAGAAGAGAAAAACACAGCCUCUGCGAGGCUACUGCUUCGCUUUAGUAGCCUUUUAGCCUAUAAAUACUGUACAUGAUUGUAUUUAAAAGUCAGAUUUUCCCUGAUGGGAUUCACUGGUUUGAUCUCACAACUGUAGAAACUUUUAAUUUUCCUCAGAUCUCAACAGCCCCGUGCCCGAAUUUAGUCUCGGAGCAGCUGCGAGGCAAAACAACAACAAAACUAAACAAAAGAGCAAUACAUAACGCUGUAGUCUUUUUCAAGGCAAUGAUUCCACUAGUAAAUCUCCACAUAAAAAGUAUGACCACAUGGACCGCUGAUAAAGUUUUGCUAUUAUUCAACCUCUGCACACCUAAAACUGUCAUUUUCCAGUAUACCCACACAGUAUGUACGCUCAUUAUGGAACAUCAAAUAUUCAAUAAGGGUGGCAAUACAUAUCAAACAAUACAGGAAAUAUCUACAGAAAAAAAAAAAGAAGAGACUUUCAGUGGAACAAAAGAACCUUAUUACAAUCUGUCCUCUCUCGUAAUUGCCUUGCCAUAUUGGAGGUACGUCGCUGUAAGAAAGAAAAAAAGGAAUCGCUUUCACAUGCUCGAGAGAAUGAGAAACAAAUGGCUGCUAAACUGCUAUUGAGUGGCAGAAAACUGAUAGCUGAUUCAGGUUUUGUGAAUGUCUUUUCACAAGCAUUGUUAAAUGUUUGUUGACUUCUUUUUUUUAAAUUGGCUUGGGUAAAUCACAACAAAGAAGCCAACAUUGAUGGAUUUUUAUACUUUGUUUUUUCUCCUUAGGAUUAAAGUGCUACGCUGUCAAAGAUGGACAAUGACUUCCUCGGAACGGAAAGGCGGGCGACGGCUGCCUCUCGACGGAAAUGACUCCAAAUGAAAUGAUAGUCCAUAAAUGACUGAAAAAAAAUCCAUGAUAGUAUCAAUUUAAGAUAUGGGUUUCUGUCAUUAGAGAUGAUGUAUUCGUGAAGAGCCCUGCAUUCUUUUAGAAAUAUGAGUACCCAGGAUCUACGUUAAUAUCGAAACGUCACAUAUACACUGUAGAAGUAGAAAUGAUAAUAAACUAUAUAUGAACCAGCAAAGAUAAAGACAGAAUUACAACAUUGUCUGACUCGGUUAUGAACCAGAAGCUUAGUGAGAUAAGGUGCAGCCUGGAUGCAAACGAUGAAAUGUUCAUAAACAUGAGAAUAUAUUCCAAAUGUACACUAAAAUUUUCUCCCCACUAAUAAAUGUACUUGAUUUUUAAAAAAAAGAGAGAACAUAAGAAGUAGGGAGGCUUUUGCGAGGCAGAUCUGUGGUUAAUUCACAGUAAGCGAUAUGGCAUCACAGUCAAGAACCCAAAUCUGCAAGAGGGUCUUUAUUUCUAAACGGUUUGUGAUGAAAAUAAAGACGGCAAAGGACUAAAGUGUGGAUGGCAUGGCUCAUUUUAAGUUGUCACGAUAUCUUAUUUCCUCCCCUAAUGAGUGCACCCUGUACAGGUGGGCUGAAGUUGAGACCCUGCUUUUGGUAAAACCAGAAGGAUGAGGCUAAUGUGGAACUCCCGAGCACUGCUGACAGUUUUACCCCACAUCCACACAUGGCGCCUGGCAUCUCUCCACACUCACACCAAAGUGCAGUUAACGCAAUAUCAGCUCAUAUUACAAUCACGGCUUGCUAUAAAACGGAGAACACAGUUCCCAAUGAUUGCCAGCUGGAAAAAGGCCCUGCAGCCCAGCUCUGAUUUCCACUUACCCUCCGUCCCAAGUGCAAUUUACGGCUGGUAAAAGGUCUUAGGUGGUCUCCAUCUCUGCAGACCCGAUAAUACAAUAACUCCUGUCCCAUGGCUAGUCCAUCAAGUACACUGAAAUCAAAUUGGAUGUGCUCUUGUUGUUUACAAGAAUCUUAUUUGAUACUUUACGUCAUUUUUACUGCAUUGUUGUCAACUGGUGCUUUUGUACACAAGACAUCUCCAAUAAUAAGAAUUUAUGUAUAUUUCAAAAUGUGGCAAUAAAAUAUUUUCUUCA